CAGGGAUGAGGGGCCAAGGAGAGAAGCCAUGACUGGAUGGGCACAGCAGGAAGGGUGGAGCUCAUGGACCUYUUUGCAGCAGCUCUUCCAUCGGCAAAGAGAAAUCAGGCGGUCGAGGGAGGCUUUCCACCAUUUGGGGAUCAUCUUCUGCUGCUGUAAGUGCCAGAAGUAUCCCAUCCCGCCAUCCCUGCUGCCAGCCAAAYGUCAGGCUCUCAGGGGAGAAGGAGGAACCGGAGGGGAUUUCCCUGCUGGCUCCCAGCACAGGCAAGGCUGCAAGGGAACCUGUUUUUGGCUUGCUUGGAUGUAG
rnacentral:lncRNA from 1 species